rnacentral:rRNA from 1 species
GACGAACGCUGGCGGCGUGCUUAACACAUGCAAGUCGAACGGAAAGGCCCUGCUUUUGUGGGGUGCUCGAGUGGCGAACGGGUGAGUAACACGUGAGUAACCUGCCCUGACUUUGGGAUAACUUCAGGAAACUGGGGCUAAUACUGGAUAGGAGCUCCUGCUGCAUGGUGGGGGUUGGAAAGUUUCGGCGGUUGGGGAUGGACUCGCGGCUUAUCAGCUUGUUGGUGGGGUAGUGGCUUACCAAGGCUUUGACGGGUAGCCGGCCUGAGAGGGUGACCGGCCACAUUGGGACUGAGAUACGGCCCAGACUCCUACGGGAGGCAGCAGUGGGGAAUAUUGCACAAUGGGCGGAAGCCUGAUGCAGCAACGCCGCGUGCGGGAUGACGGCCUUCGGGUUGUAAACCGCUUUCGCCUGUGACGAAGCGUGAGUGACGGUAAUGGGUAAAGAAGCACCGGCUAACUACGUG